CCAGGCUGUCGCAUCCGGGUCCUUGGCGCGGCGGUUGGGCGAUGGCGACGGUAGCGGAGCUCAAAGCAGUUUUAAAGGACACACUGGAAAAAAGAGGUGCUCUUGGGCAAAUAAAAGCAAGGAUCAGAGCUGAAGUUUUUAAUGCACUGGAUGACCAAAGUGAACCACGGCCACCACUGUCUCAUGAAAAUCUCUUAAUUAACGAACUAAUUCGUGAAUACCUGGAAUAUAACAAAUAUAAAUACGCAGCAUCUGUUUUAACUGCAGCUUUACUUGCAGCAUUAAGCCAAAUCAAGAAAACUUACCCUUUGCUUCUUAUCCUUGAGAAUCUGGCCAGCCUGAAGUGCCUUUGGAUAGACAGUUUCUUGCCAAAGAACUGAACAUAGUCGAAGACGCAAAUGGAAAAUCAGUACCUCUCUUGUAUGGAAUUAUCUCUCAUUUCUUACAUGGUGGUAAAGAAGAAAGUACCCAGAAUACCCUUCCAAAAGUGUCUUUGCUGAAUUAUCCAAAGCAGAACCUUGGCAAACCACCUACUGAGAGGAAUCAAAAAGAUAGAAUUCCAGAACCAGGAAGGAUGGCUGGCAUGAGCAUCGAAGAGCCCCUCGUUUUACAAAGUAUAAACAGAUGAGGUCUUUCAUAUGCUAAUUUCUCAUGUAAAGUUCUGCAAGAGUUAAUUUAUGAAAUUCUUCUUUGCAUAAAUUUCCCCAAUAUGUCCAGUGGGACCAUUUCAGCUUGUUAGAUCUAUCCAUGAGACAGGAUGGACAGGGUCAUACUUACUGUCAGUGAAAAAAAUAUUAGCAAAGGCUGUCUUCUUCCAGUGCCAAUAGAAGCAAAACUGUAUAUGAAGUCAGAUUAGUGAAGCCUGUGUCUAGAAUUGGGCCUAAAAAUACUGGUUUUACUUUAUAAAAAUUUAGCAGAUAACAUGAUUUCUGCACUUUCUUUAUUGUGUUACGUCUUUGUUUGUCUUUUCUUUGUUGCUGAGUAAAAUUUUCCAGUAUUCUGUGCGGUAUUUUGAAAGUGUUCAAACUAAGUAUUUUAAUCAUUCUUCUUUAAAAAGAAGCUGUUGCUACUUUCGGAUAAGUAUGGGAAAAUAAAUUUGAAUAGAAAAUUAAAGUGCUUUAGAGGAAUAGUUGUUUUUAAUUCUCCGGAAAUGACUAUAUUUAUCUUCAUGCCAGCAAACAAAUGAGGGUAAGUCUUUUCCAUCUGGAGUUGCUAUAAAUUGUAUGGUGUAAUGCUGAGUAUAUGGGAGGGGAGAAACUUCUGGUUUUUUUCCCCAAAUGACAUGAAACUCAAAGUCAGGCAAAGCUAAAAAUAAAGUUGAUAGUGUA